GGAUCAGACCUGAGGUGAGUUAAGAUCCUUGUAUUAUCGGUCAGAUCGCUUCAUUUGCGUCCGUUAUCAAUUCUUGUUUGACUCAGCUACUUGUAUUUCUAUGGGUGUAGGACCAUAGAUAUUGAGUAGAUAGAUGUUAGUGGUGCUAUAUUUGUGUGUGUGUGUCCAUGUGUAGGUGUAUCCUCUGUUCGCCGCCGUUGGA
rnacentral:misc_RNA from 1 species